rnacentral:rRNA from 1 species
AUUGAACGCUGGCGGCAGGCUUAACACAUGCAAGUCGAGCGGGGUGAUGGUGCUUGCACUAUCACUUAGCGGCGGACGGGUGAGUAAUGCUUAGGAAUCUGCCUAUUAGUGGGGGACAACAUCUCGAAAGGGAUGCUAAUACCGCAUACGUCCUACGGGAGAAAGCAGGGGAUCACUUGUGACCUUGCGCUAAUAGAUGAGCCUAAGUCGGAUUAGCUAGUUGGUGGGGUAAAGGCCUACCAAGGCGACGAUCUGUAGAGGGUCUGAGAGGAUGAGCCGCCAGACUGGGACUGAGACACGGCCCAGACUCCUACGGGAGGCAGCAGUGGGGAAUAGUGGACAAUGGGGGGAACCCUGAUCCAGCCAUGCCGCGUGUGUGAAGAAGGCCUUAUGGUUGUAAAGCACUUUAAGCGAGGAGGAGGCUCUUUUGGUUAAUACCCAAGAUGAGUGGACGUUACUCGCAGAAUAAGCACCGGCUAACUCUGUGCCAGCAGCCGCAGUAA